AGCAACUCUCCAGCGGCGAGGAGAGGAAGGCCGUGGUGAGGGUGGUGGCGGCUGACAUGCCGCCCGCGCUGCAGCGCCGCGCGUUCUGCUGCGCCCACGACGAGCUCGCGGCGAUGCCGCACUUCCCGCGCCGGCUCGAGCCCAAGCGCCUCGCGCUGGCGCUCAAGAAGGUAAAGGCUGUUUUUUCCCUCCGUAUUGAUUAUUCGAAAAAGGCCCGUAUCUACUAGUCGCUAAUUAGAGUCUCUGAGAUGCUGCUUAGACUUUAGUGAGGAUAUCGUCUUGCAUUCGUGAUUGUUAGUAUUACUAAAUGGUUUGCUUCCUAAGAAUCAAGGAUUCUUGGAGCGACAUUGCUGCUAUAGAGUAAUUGCACUUAUUUUUACAUACCCUCAUUGUGCACUAGCGCCUUCUCACGGGAAUGGAGUCAUAAUAGCUGGUGUAUGAUCUAUUGAUCCGUGCCUUGCCAAUUGCCAUGAGUCAAUGACGUCGAUUGCGCGGUGCUCCAUUCAUAUCCAUUCUGAAUUUCUGAUUUGAUUGUCCUUGGAGUAAAUCUUGGACUGUCUUCAUGUGUCCGAAUCCAAAAUAGUCUUGUGGUUCGUCUGCCUUUCAGCUCAUUUGGAAGGUUCUCAGAGUUGCUGAUCCCACCAUUGGCAGUUCAAGUAUCAAGAGGCCAUUGGUGACAGAAGCUUCAACAUCCAUGGUUAUUAGAUGUACAUGUCAUUUUCUUUCACCCUUUUCCUAAAUAACUUGUUGGCAUUAAGAUGCAUGACACUAUUACCUUCUUCCUGAAUAACUGUGAGCGAGAUGUAUAAAAUAUGUAGUUUUUUAUGUUGAAAAUACUGAAGUAUGGAACAAUGUACUCCUAACUAGGGAUUGUGGUGGGACACAAAACUGACAGUAGCUUCCAUUUUCCUAUAGUAAAUUUUAUUUGUCAUGAUCUAGCUUUGCAUAUAUAAUUUUCUCCGAGUUCCUUACAGAAGCUAUACCAAGUUUUAUAUUUAGUCCCUAGUAUGAGUGGAAACUUUGUAUAACUGCUGUAAGGAAAAACUUGUUCAUAAGAUUAGCAAGAAUGCUAAUACAUGUGUCUAUCUUGAAUUCUUGGUCUGAAAAUUUAUCAGGAACUCAUGGUGGUAUGCGAAUGGGAGCUAGGUGAGGCUAUUGAAUUGAACUUCUAAUAGUGAUUUUCCAAUUUAUACUUACAAUAAAAUCUUGUUUGCAUCUCAGGCUUUCUGUGACUUUGAUUCGGUGAUCUCUGUUAGUACUUCAGCACUGUAAGUCUGUAACAACUAAAAACACAUUUUUACUGAAUCAUACAUCAAUAAAUAUAUGAGUAUGGUAUAAACAGCAUGCGAACAUACUUAUCUUCACUUUUCUAAUAGCAGACUUCUGUUUUAUCCUCAUUGGAGAUUGAACAGCUUCUGUUAUUUCCCAACACGCCCUGCAUACCUCUCUGUUCCUAACUCUUUUUGUGUGCAUAUCUUUUUCAGCAGGGAAGUUCCCUAAGGCAGGCAGUUGAAGUUUACUGUCUUUUUACACUCACUGGCUUAAGUCUCCCGCGGCACAUGCACAGUCUUAUGACACAACCACUGCCUUUUUAAUAUAAAAUGGUCAUUAGCUGUUAAAGUUUACUGUGAUGCCCUUAGUCUAGUGAUAAAAUGGAGUUCAGCUGAUCAGGUACAAAGGAGCCCCUGAAGUGGAAAGUCAGGUUCAAAAUUGCACUUGGAAUUGCUGAAGGGCUGCUUUAUCUACAUGAAGGCUGCCAUCGCCGCAUAAUUCACAGGGACGUCAAGGCAUCUAAUAUCCUUCUAACUGAAGACUACCAACCUCAGAUAUCAGAUUUUGGGCUUGCAAAGUGGCUCCCUGACAAAUUGACCCAUCAUGUUGUGUAUCCCAUUGAAGGCACAUUCGGCGAGCGUCUAUGCGUUCGGGUUACUAGGACAUGGGACUUCUAUGAUCCUGGAGAUGAUAAAAAACUUCUGCAUUCUGAUCUUGUACCGCUCGAUGAGGAGGUAUAACACACAUUUUCCUUAUAUGCGUCAAUCCCUGCUUGCUUAUGCUGGGAGAGGGUGGUUGUUGUUG